rnacentral:rRNA from 1 species
UGCUGAGCCUCAGCCGCCCGAAGGGUGCUCGCCGCGACUUUAUUCGACAACAUUAUUCAAAAAUAAUGAGCGAGCUGAAAGUGCUAGUCGGUCCUCCUCACAGGGGAGACCGGCGACACCGUCAAAUUGCGGGGACGCCCACCCGACUCUCGAACACCAAGCGGCUCGCCGACGAGGCGCCCGCGGCCGGGGUAACGACCCAGGGUAUGGUAACAGCGUCGAGAGGAGAAGCUGCUGAUUUUUAAACAAUCGCAGUGGAAGUGGGUCAUCCGCAGCCAAGUCCUACGGCCUUUUUCUUAUGGAAAGAGAGCCAAAGGGUGCUGUUCACAGACUACAUGGCGGUGGGUGUGCUUUAAUAACAAUAAAGCAUGCCUAAGAUAUAGUCGGGCCCCCCCGGCAACGGGGUGUUGGGUUAGCAAACAAGCAACUCGCGCAGUGUUUUCACCGUUCCGUAGGUGAACCUGCGGAAGGAUCAUUGAAUCUAUCAACAACCACACAGCGAACCAACCGUACGCGCCCUCGGACAGGCCCCCACCAGGGACUGUCCGCGCGCUGGAAAACACUCGUUCGGCCCACGGGUCGGCGGGUGGGGGACCAGCGGGACGCCCUCUCCAACCACAAACCUUUUUCCCCAACAAGGAAAAAGGUUCGGGAGAGUGCCGCGGCCGGCCGCCCCCUGUCCAACUCACACAACCCAAACCACACAAGCAAACUGAAGCGAAAGCGGGUCCGCCCGAAAGGGCGCCGCGAACACAAACAAAAGACAACUCUCAACAACGGAUAUCUUGGCUCCCGCAUCGAUGAAGAACGCAGCGAAAUGCGAUACGUAGUGUGAAUUGCAGAAUUCCGUGAAUCAUCGAAUCUUUGAACGCAUAUUGCGCUCGAGACUUCGGUCGAGAGCAUGCCUGUCUCAGCGUCGGCUCACCCCUCGCCCACCCUUUCCGCUUUACAAGUGGAAAGGUGCCUGGACGGACGUGGCCGUCUCGAUUGGAUUUUGGUCUUCCCCAAGAAACGAUCGGGUCGGCUGAAGUGCAGGGCCCGCGGCGCGACCCGGACAAGAGGGCGCCAGCAUGGUAGGUGGCUUCAACGCUGCAUGCCGCUGUCGUCUCCCCUUGGCCCGAUCACCAGUGUCGCAUCCAAUCGUCCGCUCGGCCAACAAGCAGGAAACGCGCGUCGGGGCCGCCGGUUGUGCAAAUAAUCGGCGGCGCCGCGCCAUUCACAAACCUUCGACCUGAGAUCAGACAAGACCACCCGC